CUGACUGCGUGCCGGCGGCGGGGGGAAAACGGAGGGGGCGAGCGGUGUCCGGAUUUAUUGGGCGUAAAACGCUCGUAGGGGGCGACGGCAAGUCGGAUGUGAAAUCUCCCGGCUCAACUGGGAGGGGUCAUUAGAUACUGGCGGGCUCGAGGCCGGUAGGGGGUAGCGGAAUUCCGGGUGUAGUGGUGGAAUGCGUAGAUAUCCGGAGGAACACCAGUGGCGAAGGCGGCUACCUGGACCGGUUCUGACACUGAGGAGCGAAAGCGUGGGGAGCGAUCCGGAUUAGAUACCCGAGUAGUC
rnacentral:rRNA from 1 species